GGGGGUGUAGCUCAGUGGAAGAGCGUCUGCUUUGCAUGCCGAAGGUCCCAGGUUCAGCCCCAGACAUCUCCA